rnacentral:misc_RNA from 1 species
GCAAACUUGGUCAUUUAGAGGAAGUAAAAGUCGUAACAAGGUAUCCGUAGGUGAACCUGCGGAUGGAUCAUUACCAAUUUUUAAUAUUAGUUCUGGGCCGACAACUUGUUGUUGGUCUCUGAAACUACUAUGUAAACGUUGAACUAGAUCAUUGAUGUGGAUUGCUUGGGAAUGGAAGAAGCGAUAAGCCUCUCCCGGACAGGCAAACCCCACAUCGAUAACCUUUUCAUAACUUACAACUAGUACAUACUACAAACAAAACAAAAGCUAUAAUAGGACUUACUAUAAGCUGAGUGGGUAAAAGCCUCAGCUUUAAACUAAUAACUAUUACAACUUUCAGCAAUGGAUCUCUAGGCUCUCGCAUCGAUGAAGAACGCAGC